GUGGCGAACGGGUGAGUAACACGUGAGUAACCUGCCCUUGACUCUGGGAUAAGCGUUGGAAACGACGUCUAAUACCGGAUACGAGCUGGGACCGCAUGGUCACCAGCUGGAAAGAACUUCGGUCAAGGAUGGACUCGCGGCCUAUCAGCUAGUUGGUGAGGUAACGGCUCACCAAGGCGACGACGGGUAGCCGGCCUGAGAGGGUGACCGGCCACACUGGGACUGAGACACGGCCCAGACUCCUACGGGAGGCAGCAGUGGGGAAUAUUGCACAAUGGGCGCAAGCCUGAUGCAGCAACGCCGCGUGAGGGACGACGGCCUUCGGGUUGUAAACCUCUUUUAGCAGGGAAGAAGCGAAAGUGACGGUACCUGCAGAAAAAGCACCGGCUAACUACGUGCCAGCAGCCGCGGUAAUACGUAGGGUGCAAGCGUUGUCCGGAAUUAUUGGGCGUAAAGAGCUCGUACGCGGUCUGUCGCGUCUGCUGUGAAAACCCGAGGCUCAACCUCGGGCCUGCAGUGGGUACGGGCAGACUAGAGUGCGGUAGGGGAGAUUGGAAUUCCUGGUGUAGCGGUGGAAUGCGCAGAUAUCAGGAGGAACACCGAUGGCGAAGGCAGAUCUCUGGGCCGUAACUGACGCUGAGGAGCGAAAGCGUGGGGAGCGAACAGGAUUAGAUACCCUGGUAGUCCAC
rnacentral:rRNA from 1 species